rnacentral:rRNA from 1 species
CUCCGGACUCCUACGGGAGGCAGCAGUGAGGAAUAUUGGUCAAUGGGCGCGAGCCUGAACCAGCCAAGUCGCGUGAAGGAUGACGGCCCUACGGGUUGUAAACUUCUUUUGUCAGGGAGCAAUUGGGUCCACGCGUGGGCUUAGCGAGAGUACCUGAAGAAAAAGCAUCGGCUAACUCCGUGCCAGCAGCCGCGGUAAUACGGAGGAUGCGAGCGUUAUCCGGAUUUAUUGGGUUUAAAGGGUGCGUAGGCGGAAUAUCAAGUCAGCGGUAAAAAUUCGGGGCUCAACCCCGUCGUGCCAUUGAAACUGGUUUUCUUGAGUGAGUGAGAAGUAUGCGGAAUGCGUGGUGUAGCGGUGAAAUGCAUAGAUAUCACGCAGAACUCCGAUUGCGAAGGCAGCAUACCGGCGCUCAACUGACGCUCAUGCACGAAAGUGUGGGUAUCGAACAGGAUUAGAUACCCGAGUA